GACGAACGCUGGCGGCGUGCCUAAUACAUGCAAGUCGAGCGCAGGAAACUGACGGAACUCUUCGGAGGAAAGGCAGCGGAAUGAGCGGCGGACGGGUGAGUAACACGUAAGGAACCUGCCUCAAGGAUUGGGAUAACUCCGAGAAAUCGGAGCUAAUACCGGAUAGUUCAACGGACCGCAUGGUCCGCUGAUGAAAGGCGCUUCGGCGUCACCUUGAGAUGGCCUUGCGGUGCAUUAGCUAGUUGGUGGGGUAACGGCCCACCAAGGCGACGAUGCAUAGCCGACCUGAGAGGGUGAUCGGCCACACUGGGACUGAGACACGGCCCAGACUCCUACGGGAGGCAGCAGUAGGGAAUCUUCCACAAUGGACGAAAGUCUGAUGGAGCAACGCCGCGUGAGUGAUGAAGGUUUUCGGAUCGUAAAACUCUGUUGUAAGGGAAGAACACGUACGAGAGGGAAUGCUCGUACCUUGACGGUACCUUACGAGAAAGCCACGGCUAACUACGUGCCAGCCGCCGCAGUAAAAC
rnacentral:rRNA from 1 species